GAUGAAGAACGCAGUGAAAUGCGAUAAGUAAUGUGAAUUGCAGAAUUCAGUGAAUCAUCGAAUCUUUGAACGCACCUUGCGCUCUUUGGCCAUUCCAAGGAGCAUGCCUGUUUGAGUGUCAUUGAAUCCUCAAGGGCCCCCUUUCUGAGGGGGGGGGACUUUGGACUUGGGAGCGCUGCGGCCGCCGGGCUUUCCUCCGGCUCCGCUCUCCUCAAACGCAUCAGUAGGGCCCCUCAUCCCUUCGGGUCUUUUGCGGCGUUGAUAGUCGUCUACGCCUCUGCCCCGUCGGGUCUCACCUGCUCCUCAACCCCACAUUCUCCUUUGAACGCUUUGACCUCAAAUCAGGUAGGACUACCCGCUGAACUUAAGCAUAUCAAUAAGCGGAGGA
rnacentral:misc_RNA from 1 species